rnacentral:tRNA from 1 species
UCCUCGAUAGCUCAGUUGGUAGAGCACGCGGCUGUUAACCGCGCUGUCGUAGGUUCGAGUCCUACUCGGGGAGC